GACGAACGCUGGCGGCGUGCUUAACACAUGCAAGUCGAACGGAAAGGCCCUGCUUUUGUGGGGUGCUCGAGUGGCGAACGGGUGAGUAACACGUGAGUAACCUGCCCUUGACUUUGGGAUAACUUCAGGAAACUGGGGCUAAUACCGGAUAGGAGCUCCUGCUGCAUGGUGGGGGUUGGAAAGUUUCGGCGGUUGGGGAUGGACUCGCGGCUUAUCAGCUUGUUGGUGGGGUAGUGGCUUACCAAGGCUUUGACGGGUAGCCGGCCUGAGAGGGUGACCGGCCACUUUGGGACUGAUGUCCGCCCCAGCCUCCUACGGGAGGGAGCAGUGGGGAAUAUUCCACAAGGGGGGGAGGCCGGAUGCGGCACCGCCGCGGGCGGAGUGGGGGCCUUCGGUUUGUACCCCGCUUCCGCUUGUGACGAAGGGUGAGUGCGGGUAGGGGGUAAAGAGGCCCCGGCUACCUCCGUC
rnacentral:rRNA from 1 species